GAUCCCGUAGCUCAGCAGGAUAGAGCGAGUGAUUCCUAAUCACUAGGUCGGAGGUUCGAAUCCUCUCGGGGUCACCA
rnacentral:tRNA from 2 species